rnacentral:ncRNA from 1 species
GGUUUAAUUCGAUACAACGUGCAAAACCUUACCAGCCCUUGACAUAUAAACAACAAAACCUGUCCUUAACAGGAUGGUACUGACUUUCAUACAGGUGCUGGAUGGCUGUCGUCAGCUCGUGUCGUGAGAUGUUUGGUCAAGUCCUAUAGCCAGUUAAACCCUCGUUUUGUGUUGCUGAGACAUGCGCCUAAGGAGAAAUUGCCACCGAGUUACGUGCCAACGCUACUACUUGAAACUAGGGCGCACCUAAGGGGGAGAGGACUUGGACUCCAAGUCCAAUCCUAUUCCUACUAGGACUC